CUAUCCUUGGAAUGAAUUGGACUUUAUUUGCGCAGUAUAGGUGGGAGGCGUUGAAAUAUUCUUGCGGGAAUAUUGGAGCCAUCAGUGAGAUACCACUCUUGUAAUGUUAGAUUUCUAACUUUGUAUCAUUAUCUGGUCAAAGGACAGUUUCAGGCGGGCAGUUUGACUGGGGCGGUCGCCUCCCAAACGGUAACGGAGGCGCACAAAGGUUUCCUCUGAACGGGUAGAAAUCGUAUCUAGAGUGUAAAGGCAUAAGGAAGCUUGACUGUGAGACCUACAAGUCGAGCAGGGACGAAAGUCGGUCUUAGUGAUCUGACGGUGCUGAGUGGAAAGGCCGUCACUCAACGGAUAAAAGUUACUCUAGGGAAACAGGCUGAA
rnacentral:rRNA from 1 species